CGGGUGGGGCGGCGGCGGAGGAAAGUUUGGAGGUGCGGAUCCCGGAGGAAUAUUGUCACUAAGCCGGGAAUAAAGCGGGGUUAGCAUUUGGGUUCUCCUCUGGUCGCUCCUAAAGUUAGGGGUGUUUUAUCGCUGUGUUUUACGCUAAAGAAGUUCGUGCUGUAGGUUGAAGGCCGUUGGGAGUUGACUGGGCAUCUUGCAGCUUUGUGGGUGCGUGAGGUGACCACCGUCACCCCGGGCAGUUUGGGGAGGUGGUGUAAGGCCGCAUUCCAAACUGCCUUUGGAAACCUGCCAACUCAGUGUCGUGACUUGUGCCAUAUACAGAAUUUCUCAGGGAGAAUCGUACACAGAAUCACAAAACGAAUUAGGUUGGAAAAGGCCUGCGAGAUCAUCGGGUCCAACCCUUGACUGAACACCACCAUGUCAAUUACACCGUGGCACAAAGUGCUGCCCCUGGUACUUCCUUAAACACCAAAGCAGUCCUGUGGAGUUUGGAAAACCUUGUUUUAUUCUUAGGUGGUUUUUUUUUUCUAAUCCAAAAUAAAAAAAUUAAUCCUUUUGUGAGAAAGCAAUAUAUUUUCCUAUCAAUUAGAAUUCUAUGGGGCUUUUUAUUACCAGCUAAUCAAUCGUGUUUCAGAGUCUCACAAAAUAAUAGAAUCAAAUAAAAUGUACUUCGUUCCUGCUAAACAAAUGUACAAGUACUUGCAUUUGGACCAAACACUAAACAUUAAUGAAAGUGUAACGCAGGAAGCCAUAUCAUGGAUUUGCAGAAGUCUUGGAGGUGACCAAACCCACGGCAGAGCUGGCAUCUCCCCAUGGCAAAAUGUGACGUCUUUGUUCAGCCUCCACCCUGCCCUGGCUUUAAACUGAGGUGAUGACUGGUAUCUGAAGCAGCUGACAAAUGAACACAUCCUGAGAUGGCAGUGGUGGCUUCUGUCAGCUGAGUACAGCAGAUGGCCAGCAUCAGCAGUGUCUUAUAGUGAGGUGUGAUGUGUUUGUUAAAAUUUAGAUGGUGAUUUUUAGAGAAAAGUAAAAUUUCUCU
rnacentral:lncRNA from 1 species